AUUUACAGAAACAUAUCGAAAUUAUGACCUUUUAUGAAUCGGGACAUUUGCCCUUUCACUUGCCUCCACCAUUUCUAACUUUCAAUACGAUGACGCAUAAACCACAAAUCAAUAUAAUAAGUAAUAUGUCUUUGUAAUUCACGUAAUUUGAAUGAUAAAUUAGAGAUUACUCGAAAGAGUAUUCUCUACACAACAAAAGUUUUGUUUUGUUCUACAAAUUUGCAGAAUUGGAAUAAAGCAGCAUAUUCCAAGUAGUGACCACCCUAUUAACCUCAUGGUAGUCCAUUAGUCUACCAUGGUUACUACGGCUAACGGAGGAUAAGGGUUAGACUCCGGAGAGGGAGUUCUUAGAAACGGCUACUAUAUCCAAAAAAGGCAGCAGACGUAAAACCUAUCCAAUCUUGAGGUCAUGCAGUGACUAGAAUUAAAAGGUACAUUCCUAGGGUACGGUCAUCUCAAUAAGUCAAUCAUAAACCUUUUUUCGAGUAUGGAAUGGAGGCAGGUCUGCUGCCAGUAGCCUCGAUAAUUCUAGCUCCAGUAGUGUAAAUCGUUAUUGCUGCGGUGAAAAAGCUGGUAGUUGGAUUUGAGCUACAUGUAAUGGUUCGCCUUUGGCGUUCAUCGUGUGUGUAUGCUGAUUUUCUAUCAGAGUUUCGAUCGACUUUUCAAGUGACUUGUGAGUUUACCUUGAAUAAAUUAGAAUGCUAAAACAAGUGCUUACUUGAAUAGAUUAUCAUAAAAUUAUAGAAGAUGACUUCGGUUCUAUUCAUCUAUUCAAAAACUGGAAUAAUGGUUGAAAGGGACGAUUCGGGGCAUUCGUAUCCUUGCGCGAGUGAUGAAAUUCGUGGCCGUAAACUAUGCCAUUUAGCAAUUCGAUGGGGUUCUAAUAAUAGGGCGUUGUCGAGCAACUUCUAAACACAAAACUCUUUCAUCAUAUGGAGUAGUAUGAUUACGAAGCUGGAACUUUGGGAAAUUGACGGAACAGCAAUAACAGGAGUGGAUCCUGCAGCUUAAUUUGACUCAAGACAGUUAAACUCAUCUGGCCCGAACGCGGAGAGGAUUGACAAUUUAAAGUUGGGCAACUAAACCCGCAUUUGUACACUAAAAUUGGGCAACUCGACCGACUUUACGUUUUAAUACUAUAGUGUUGCUCGUACUAGGCGGUUUUAGUUAUCAAUUCAAUGUGUAAUCUUAAGAAUUGUCCACCUUCUGUCCUAAACAUUGCACGAGUAAGCCAGACUUAGGCCAUUAAAUUGACCAAUCAGACCGUUUUAAUGGUUUUUACACCAUAGUGUUCAUCAUACUAGACGAUUUCAAUUAUCAUCUCAGUGUGUAAGCUUGAGGGUUUUCCGUCUUUUCCCUCAAUUUGGGCAAGUAAACCUAACCUACGUCUUUGAAAUUGGGCAAAUAAACGACUCCGGCUCUUAUAUAAUACUGUUAAUCUGAAACCAAUGAAAGAGUCCCUCAGUCCAACUGCCUCCAAAAUAUCAUGAAACUGUUGGUUUUUUUGCAAUUUAUCAAAAUA
rnacentral:ncRNA from 1 species